rfam:Aneurinibacillus migulanus strain DSM 2895 super7, whole genome shotgun sequence.
UAUUGCCUGCGAUGUACGAUUCAUUUUUUUGUUUCGAACCUUACGAAGAAAAAGGGAGUCUAAAAUUAAGCUGUGGACGCUACGCUCGCCAAGACGGGACAGCGGAAGUGGCUUUGCGGACACCCACCUGCGAGAGCGGGUUUUGAAACAUGAGGGUGAAACGGCAUAGGCGGGGUUUCA